UUGCGCUUACUAUAUAAUUCGACGAAACUUCAGUCAAGAUCUACAACUACAUUCUGCGCGUCAAGAUGAAGAUUGUUUACAUUUUCGCUUUCCUGUGCAUCAGUGGACUUUUUAUUGGCUGUAUGGCGGGUAAUGGCGGCUAUACUAUUGAUGAUGUAUUUGGUGAGGUCAAAAUCAAUCAAGAUCUGAUCAAAGAUGUACUAGCUGGUCUUAAGGAUAUAAAGGCUUGUUGUUGUGAAACCGAAGAUAACGACCCUAAAUAAAGUCAAUGGCAGCCUCAAGUUGAAAAGGUCAUAUUCCAAAUAUCGGACUAACAAAACAGAACAGAACUGAAAUCAUAUUUAGCCUUAUGCA